UCCUGGCUCAGGAUGAACGCUAGCUACAGGCUUAACACAUGCAAGUCGAGGGGAAACGACAUCGAAAGCUUGCUUUUGAUGGGCGUCGACCGGCGCACGGGUGAGUAACGCGUAUCCAACCUGCCCACCACUUGGGGAUAACCUUGCGAAAGUAAGACUAAUACCCAAUGAUAUCUCAAGAAGACAUCUGAAUGAGAUUAAAGAUUCAUCGGUGAUGGAUGGGGAUGCGUCUGAUUAGCUUGUUGGCGGGGUAACGGCCCACCAAGGCUACGAUCAGUAGGGGUUCUGAGAGGAAGGUCCCCCACAUUGGAACUGAGACACGGUCCAAACUCCUACGGGAGGCAGCAGUGAGGAAUAUUGGUCAAUGGACGAGAGUCUGAACCAGCCAAGUAGCGUGCAGGAUGACGGCCCUAUGGGUUGUAAACUGCUUUUAUAAGGGAAUAAAGUGAGUCUCGUGAGGCUUUUUGCAUGUACCUUAUGAAUAAGGACCGGCUAAUUCCGUGCCAGCAGCCGCGGUAAUACGGAAGGUCCGGGCGUUAUCCGGAUUUAUUGGGUUUAAAGGGAGCGUAGGCCGGAGAUUAAGCGUGUUGUGAAAUGUAGACGCUCAACGUCUGCACUGCAGCGCGAACUGGUUUCCUUGAGUACGCACAAAGUGGGCGGAAUUCGUGGUGUAGCGGUGAAAUGCUUAGAUAUCACGAAGAACUCCGAUUGCGAAGGCAGCUCACUGGAGCGCAACUGACGCUGAAGCUCGAAAGUGCGGGUAUCGAACAGGAUUAGAUACCCUGGUAGUCCGCACGGUAAACGAUGGAUGCCCGCUGUUGGUCUGAAUAGGUCAGCGGCCAAGCGAAAGCAUUAAGCAUCCCACCUGGGGAGUACGCCGGCAA
rnacentral:rRNA from 1 species